UUCUCUUUCUUCCUUCCCAUUUCGUCUUUUCCUUAGCCUCUUUGUUCAUCUUUUCUUUUUCCGUUUGAGGGCUAUUUAAGAUCGUGAAACUUCAAUUAUGCCAGAAGAUUGUUGUGUGCUUCAAUGGUGACUUUUUUUUUAAUGAUCUUCAGGUAAAAUAUGGUGUUUGUUUCUUGGGGAUAUUUUGUUCCCCACACAACUGAAGAAGACAUUUACACCAUUCCUUGGAUGUCAUCAAGCAUCUAUGAUGAUAUUUCAAAUCUUUGUGUCUAAUUGUAAAAACAAUUAUUCACAAUUUCAUUUGGAUGAAAACUCUAGCACUAUUGGUUAUUUAUAUUUUUAUUCUGUCUAA